rnacentral:rRNA from 1 species
UACGGGGGGGGCAAGCGUUGUUCGGAAUUACUGGGCGUAAAGGGCUCGUAGGCGGCCAACUAAGUCAGACGUGAAAUCCCUCGGCUUAACCGGGGGAACUGCAUCUGAUACUGGAUGGCUUGAGUUCGGGAGAGGGAUGCGGAAUUCCCAGUGUAGAGGUGAAAUUCGUAGAUAUUGGGAAGAACACCGGUGGCGAAGGCGGCAACCUGGUCCUUUACUGACGCUGAGGCGCGAAAGCGUGGGGAGCAAACAGGG